AUUGAACGCUGGCGGCAUGCCUUACACAUGCAAGUCGAACGGCAGCGCGGGGCAACCUGGCGGCGAGUGGCGAACGGGUGAGUAAUAUAUCGGAACGUACCCUGGAGUGGGGGGAUAACGUAGCGAAAGUUACGCUAAUACCGCAUACGAUCUACGGAUGAAAGCGGGGGAUCGCAAGACCUCGCGCGAUUGGAGCGGCCGAUAUCAGAUUAGGUAGUUGGUGAGGUAAAGGCUCACCAAGCCGACGAUCUGUAGCUGGUCUGAGAGGACGACCAGCCACACUGGGACUGAGACACGGCCCAGACUCCUACGGGAGGCAGCAGUGGGGAAUUUUGGACAAUGAGCGCAAGCCUGAUCCAGCAAUGCCGCGUGCAGGAUGAAGGCCUUCGGGUUGUUAAACGUAGCGUUUGUUACGGAACGAAACGGUAGAGGACUCUAAUACAGUUAGUCUAAUGAGUACCGUAAGAAUAAGACA
rnacentral:rRNA from 1 species